rnacentral:rRNA from 1 species
GAUGAACGCUGGCGGCGUGCCUAAUACAUGCAAGUCGAGCGAACGGACGAGAAGCUUGCUUUUCUGAUGUUAGCGGCGGACGGGUGAGUAACACGUGGAUAACCUACCUAUAAGACUGGGAUAACUUCGGGAAACCGGAGCUAAUACCGGAUAAUAUUUUGAACCGCAUGGUUCAAAAGUGAAAGACGGUCUUGCUGUCACUUAUAGAUGGAUCCGCGCUGCAUUAGCUAGUUGGUAAGGUAACGGCUUACCAAGGCAACGAUGCAUAGCCGAGCUGAGAGGGUGGUAGCCCACCCUGGAACGUAGCCACCGUCCAGACUCCUACGGGACGCCGCAGUCGCGAAUCUUCCGCAAUGGGCGAGAGCCUGACGGAGCAGCCCCGCGUGAGUGAUGACGGUCUUCGGAUCGUGAAACUCUGUUAUUAGGGAAGAACAUAUGUGUACGUAACUGUGCACAUCUUGACGGUACCUAAUCAGAAAGCCCCGGCUAACUACGUG